rnacentral:tRNA from 1 species
GGGGAUUUAGCUCAGCGGUAGAGUGUUUGCCUAGCGAGCGCAAGGCCCUGGGUUCGGUCCCCAGCUCCA